GUGGGAGGAGUUUUAUCUGCAAUCCACUGAUAUUGUGCUUCGGCGGCUCGAGGCGUGCCUCAGACGCAGAGUUGAGAGGAGCGCGCGCACCGCGGGAGCGAGGGUCACGUACGCGGAGCGAGACAAUGAAAAAGCGGUACGUCGCUGUGUCGGAAACAGGACGACGCGGCACAGGUUCGCCCCCUGCUUUGGUCACGUGGCCACUUGAAGACCCUCAUUCAUGGUGAUGUGGAUGCAGUCAUGCGGAAAACAUGGGAGGUCCGAGUCACAGCUCCUCCCAGAGUCGUAAACUCCCCGCAGUGAAGGAAGAUGAACCAUUACUGUGCUUACAUGGCUUCAGGUACAGUUGUGCUUUUCCCCCUUGAUCAAUUCCAACAUCGGUCUCAUCCAAACUCUUUCAUUUCACAGGGUAUUGUUCUGAGACUGUUCACAUUCAUUCAUAAUGGUUCACCAAUACAAUGGGUGCACAGUGAAAACAGAAAUGAAAGAAAUGUUCCUAUCCAUGUCACAUACAGUCAUCUCCUGAUCCAAGGUUCUGGAACCCUGAAGACUGGAGGGGUGUACCUGGUACAGUUACAGUGAGAAGCUCAAUCAUGUGAGCAGCUGUCAUACUUGGAGAAAAGCCAGUGAAAGUGUUGUUUUUUUAGGGGUGAAAAGGCUGCAGAAUGCCCCCCUCCUCCUCAGAUGACUACUGCCUCUGUCAGAUGGAGGGGAUGGAUCUCAAAUCCCUCCUUGCUGAUGGUUCCUGCCCAGGGGACUGCAGCCUUCAGACCUGGGCAGGAGUAACACCAGGUUGUGUUCCACUCUCUGCUGCUCUCUUCUCAUUUGUCCCACUCCAGGGGAGCUUCCCUGGAGUCUGCUGUAUGGGAGGGAGAAGUGGGAAGUUGUCUGUCCGUCUAUCCAUCUGUCCAGCUUGUCAACGAGAACACACUGCCAACGAGACUUAUCAUCUGAAGAGCUGUCUAAAUGCAAUAUUUGCCUUCUCAAGUCAACCAGAAAGGGCCUUUUUUGGAGGUUUGGGAGUUUUUAUCCUGGGGUGAAGUCCCAAAGAUGUAUAGCAAGGGGUUGCUGUGAUGCUGAGGAGGAUCAUGCUGCCUUGUCUCCUAGGAGGGUCAGGAAGGUCUGCUACCUAUGGAGAAGGAACCAAGGCUGCACCCCCUCCCCCCACCUCCCUGCAGUCAUCAUAAAAGACAAGCACAUGCCCCAGGGGCCAGGACACCGGCUCCCAGGAUGUCAGUGAUGCACAACCAGACUCAGCCCUGUGCCACUUUGACCCCAGUCUUAAUCUGAAUAUUUAUUCCAAUAUUAUGCAUAGCAGCUGUAUUAGUGGGGCUAAAUAUGGGGAGGUGAACCAUGAUAGAGCUUUAUUGAAGUGAGAGAGAGAGAGCAAAAGGCGGUGUGAUGUUGAGAAGGACAGGCCUUUAAAAUUAGAACCACACACAAGCCUUGGAAGGCAAAUUCAUGAAACAUACUGGCAGUGAAGGAUGCGUGGACCUCAUUUUUCAGCCUAAGGUGAUGACCACAAACAUUUAAGGCAGACUGGAAUACAGCAACUGAUUUACUCCCACCACAGUCAUGUAUAAUCAUUGAUAUUGAAAGGUAUGUUGAUUUACCAAUGGUAACCUUCUAAAGGCACUUACUUGACAAAAUACUGAAAUUUUCAAGGUAUCUGAAUUGAGAUGCAGUAAGUUGACAUGUCAUAUUCCCCUCAGGCUGACUGUAAUCUGGUGUGAAGGGAAAAUGAGAGGAGGGUGGGAUUUGAGAUGCAGGGAGAAUGGAUGCUUGCUGAGUGGGGUUUGAGAUGCCAUGGGUGAGAGCUCCAUAUUCUAACCCCAAAUGUGCACAGGUCACUCGUUCCGAGGGUCUACAGGAAUGGUCGGGCCGGCUUCACUGCUUGUGAAUGAUUUAGAGAGGUGUUUGAAAUUGUAGAAUGUGGUUAUGGAACGAUAGAACCAGUUUCAUUCACAGUGCAUGUGACACAGCGACACAGGUAACUGUUUACCUUUUAGACCAUCUCUGUUAUAGGUGUGUGGGGGCUUGUUUAGGAUAUGCAUGGAAAUAACAUGAUUCUUCAGAUGACUCGUCUGUUUCUAUACCUGGACCAGCUAACCCCUUAUUGUGUGACUUGUUAUGUACGCAGAUGCCUAACUAUCUAACCUAUUAACUUUCUGCUUGUUCUGUUAACCUACAAUACUAACACUGCACACUAACUAAACUACUGCUGUGAUGUUCUUUUACUGCUAAUACCUGCUAGCAACCUUUCUUCCUCUGGCUGUUCUCUAUUUCCAAACCCUUAACAAGACUGCUAACAGUGCUGUUUUACUCUGUACUAAUAUGUGAAAUGCUGGAUGGCCUCAGUGUGCUGACUGCCUGUUUGACUGUGUAUGGUAAGGGAGCUUUGCUCUGUGUUUUUUGUCUUGUGGUACGUGCAUGCAAGAGCUCCUUCUGUAGCCUUGACGACUUCACAUGGGCAUUUUUUCAACUAACAAACACUGGAAACUGUACUAACUUAUACUAACAGAUUAACCAGUUUAAACUAAAGUUGACAAGAUAAUCAGCCAAGCUGUCAGACUCUGUGAGCAAUUCCUUGUCUUCUCUUUACUUCAUCACUGCUCUUACCUGUAUGUGUGUUUGUGUGUAGAUAUAAUGCGAGGUGUGUAAAUUUGUCUGUGUGGAUGAGGUUUCUGUUACAGAAUCUUUGAUCUGUUGGUGCGUGCUUGAAUGUCUUGAGUUACACUACCUGUUAUUUUGCCUGUCGUUUUCUUGUCUACCCGUGCAACCCACUCAUUGUGCGCGCAGCAACGCUUCACAAAAACGUAAAUCAUUCUCUUCUGGCACCCUCGAAUGACAGAUUAACGAAA